rnacentral:rRNA from 4 species
CACACUAUCAUUAACUGAAUCCAUAGGUUAAUGAGGCGAACCGGGGGAACUGAAACAUCUAAGUACCCCGAGGAAAAGAAAUCAACCGAGAUUCCCCCAGUAGCGGCGAGCGAACGGGGAGGAGCCCAGAGCCUGAAUCAGUGUGUGUGUUAGUGGAAGCGUCUGGAAAGGCGCGCGAUACAGGGUGACAGCCCCGUACACAAAAAUGCACAUAUUGUGAGCUCGAUGAGUAGGGCGGGACACGUGGUAUCCUGUCUGAAUAUGGGGGGACCAUCCUCCAAGGCUAAAUACUCCUGACUGACCGAUAGUGAACCAGUACCGUGAGGGAAAGGCGAAAAGAACCCCGGCGAGGGGAGUGAAAAAGAACCUGAAACCGUGUACGUACAAGCAGUGGGAGCCUCUUUAUGGGGUGACUGCGUACCUUUUGUAUAAUGGGUCAGCGACUUAUAUUCUGUAGCAAGGUUAACCGAAUAGGGGAGCCGAAGGGAAACCGAGUCUUAACUGGGCGUUAAGUUGCAGGGUAUAGACCCGAAACCCGGUGAUCUAGCCAUGGGCAGGUUGAAGGUUGGGUAACACUAACUGGAGGACCGAACCGACUAAUGUUGAAAAAUUAGCGGAUGACUUGUGGCUGGGGGUGAAAGGCCAAUCAAACCGGGAGAUAGCUGGUUCUCCCCGAAAGCUAUUUAGGUAGCGCCUCGUGAAUUCAUCUCCGGGGGUAGAGCACUGUUUCGGCAAGGGGGUCAUCCCGACUUACCAACCCGAUGCAAACUGCGAAUACCGGAGAAUGUUAUCACGGGAGACACACGGCGGGUGCUAACGUCCGUCGUGAAGAGGGAAACAACCCAGACCGCCAGCUAAGGUCCCAAAGUCAUGGUUAAGUGGGAAACGAUGUGGGAAGGCCCAGACAGCCAGGAUGUUGGCUUAGAAGCAGCCAUCAUUUAAAGAAAGCGUAAUAGCUCACUGGUCGAGUCGGCCUGCGCGGAAGAUGUAACGGGGCUAAACCAUGCACCGAAGCUGCGGCAGCGACACUAUGUGUUGUUGGGUAGGGGAGCGUUCUGUAAGCCUGUGAAGGUGGCCUGUGAGGGUUGCUGGAGGUAUCAGAAGUGCGAAUGCUGACAUAAGUAACGAUAAAGCGGGUGAAAAGCCCGCUCGCCGGAAGACCAAGGGUUCCUGUCCAACGUUAAUCGGGGCAGGGUGAGUCGACCCCUAAGGCGAGGCCGAAAGGCGUAGUCGAUGGGAAACAGGUUAAUAUUCCUGUACUUGGUGUUACUGCGAAGGGGGGACGGAGAAGGCUAUGUUGGCCGGGCGACGGUUGUCCCGGUUUAAGCGUGUAGGCUGGUUUUCCAGGCAAAUCCGGAAAACCAAGGCUGAGGCGUGAUGACGAGGCACUACGGUGCUGAAGCGACAAAUGCCCUGCUUCCAGGAAAAGCCUCUAAGCAUCAGGUAACAUCAAAUCGUACCCCAAACCGACACAGGUGGUCAGGUAGAGAAUACCAAGGCGCUUGAGAGAACUCGGGUGAAGGAACUAGGCAAAAUGGUGCCGUAACUUCGGGAGAAGGCACGCUGAUAUGUAGGUGAAGCGACUUGCUCGUGGAGCUGAAAUCAGUCGAAGAUACCAGCUGGCUGCAACUGUUUAUUAAAAACACAGCACUGUGCAAACACGAAAGUGGACGUAUACGGUGUGACGCCUGCCCGGUGCCGGAAGGUUAAUUGAUGGGGUUAGCGGUAACGCGAAGCUCUUGAUCGAAGCCCCGGUAAACGGCGGCCGUAACUAUAACGGUCCUAAGGUAGCGAAAUUCCUUGUCGGGUAAGUUCCGACCUGCACGAAUGGCGUAAUGAUGGCCAGGCUGUCUCCACCCGAGACUCAGUGAAAUUGAACUCGCUGUGAAGAUGCAGUGUACCCGCGGCAAGACGGAAAGACCCCGUGAACCUUUACUAUAGCUUGACACUGAACAUUGAGCCUUGAUGUGUAGGAUAGGUGGGAGGCUUUGAAGUGUGGACGCCAGUCUGCAUGGAGCCGACCUUGAAAUACCACCCUUUAAUGUUUGAUGUUCUAACGUUGGCCCGUAAUCCGGGUUGCGGACAGUGUCUGGUGGGUAGUUUGACUGGGGCGGUCUCCUCCUAAAGAGUAACGGAGGAGCACGAAGGUUGGCUAAUCCUGGUCGGACAUCAGGAGGUUAGUGCAAUGGCAUAAGCCAGCUUGACUGCGAGCGUGACGGCGCGAGCAGGUGCGAAAGCAGGUCAUAGUGAUCCGGUGGUUCUGAAUGGAAGGGCCAUCGCUCAACGGAUAAAAGGUACUCCGGGGAUAACAGGCUGAUACCGCCCAAGAGUUCAUAUCGACGGCGGUGUUUGGCACCUCGAUGUCGGCUCAUCACAUCCUGGGGCUGAAGUAGGUCCCAAGGGUAUGGCUGUUCGCCAUUUAAAGUGGUACGCGAGCUGGGUUUAGAACGUCGUGAGACAGUUCGGUCCCUAUCUGCCGUGGGCGCUGGAGAACUGAGGGGGGCUGCUCCUAGUACGAGAGGACCGGAGUGGACGCAUCACUGGUGUUCGGGUUGUCAUGCCAAUGGCACUGCCCGGUAGCUAAAUGCGGAAGAGAUAAGUGCUGAAAGCAUCUAAGCACGAAACUUGCCCCGAGAUGAGUUCUCCCUGACUCCUUGAGAGUCCUGAAGGAACGUUGAAGACGACGACGUUGAUAGGCCGGGUGUGUAAGCGCAGCGAUGCGUUGAGCUAACCGGUACUAAUGAACCGUGAGGCUUAACCUU